ACGGGGCAGUAAGGCAUGGGUAUCUACCUUUGGGUUCGGGAUAGCCAUCAGAGAUGGUGGGUAAUACCGGAUGAUGUCGUGAGACCAAAGAUUUAUCGCCCGGAGAGGGGCCCAUGUGAUAUUAGCUUGUUGGUGAGGUAACGGCUCACCAAGGCGAAGAUGUCUAGCGGGUGUGAGAGCACGACCCGCGCCACUCGCACUGAGACACUGGCGAGACACCUACGGGUGGCUGCAGUCGAGGAUCUUCGGCAAUGAGCGCAAGCUUGACCGAGCGACGCCGCGUGAGCGAUGAAGGCCUUCGGGUUGUAAAGCUCUUUAGUGGGGGAGAAAAGCCCGCAAGGGUGUGAUCUAUCCCAAAAAUAAGCACGGGCUAAGUUCGUGCCAGCAGCCGCGGUAAGACGAACCGUGCGAACGUUGUUCGGAAUCACUGGGCUUAAAGGGCGCGUAGGCGGGCUGACAAGUCUGGGGUGAAAUCCCACGGCUCAACCGUGGAACUGCCUUAGAUACUGUCGGCCUCGAGGAAGGUAGGGGCAUGCGGAACUAACGGU
rnacentral:rRNA from 1 species